rnacentral:tRNA from 1 species
GCAGAUAUGGUGGAAUUGGUAGACACGGUAGACUCAAAAUCUGCUGACCUCGAGUCGUAAGAGUUCAAAUCUCUUUAUCUGCA